GUAAGUUGCUGUUUUUUACAGUGCAUUGUGGGUAGACUUGCUCACUUCAGGUCGGUUGUCGAGCAACAACAGAAUGUCACUGUUAUUUAACAGUAUUAUAGCAUAUUUUUCGUUGUGCACGCCAUUUUGGAUUGUCUGCAUGAGGCAAAGCGGGUAUUCUACCAUCACAUCAGUUACACUCACAUCAGAUCACAGGGUUAUUUUGGUGCUUUGGUGCUAUUUUGGUCCCUAUUCCCUG